rnacentral:rRNA from 1 species
AUACGUAGGUGACAAGCGUUAUCCGGAUUUACUGGGCGUAAAGGGCGUGUAGGCGGUCUUGCAAGUCAGAAGUGAAAUUCCUGAGCUCAACUCGGGCGCUGCUUCUGAAACUGCAGGACUUGAGUGCUGGAGGGGAUAGCGGAAUUCCUCGUGGAGCGGUAAAAUGCGCAGAUAUUAGGAAGAACACCGGUGGCGAAGGCGGCUAUCUGGACUGUAACUGACGCUGAGGCGCGAAAGUGUGGGGAGCAAACAGGAUUAGAUACCCUGGUAGUCCACACUGUAAACGAUGAAUGCUAGGUGUAGGGGGUAUCGACCCCUUCUGUGCCGCAGUCAACACAAUAAGCAUUCCGCCUGGGGAGUACGGCCGCAAGGUUGAAACUCAAAGGAAUUGACGGGG